CACGUAGGGGGCAAGCGUUGUCCGGAUUUAUUGGGCGUAAAGAGCUCGUAGGUGGUUCGGUAAGUCGGGUGUGAAACCUCCAGGCUCAACCUGGAGACGCCACCCGAUACUGCUGUGACUGGAGUCCGGUAGGGGAGCGUGGAAUUCCUGGUGUAGCGGUGAAUGCGCAGAUAUCAGGAGGAACACCAGCGGCGAAGGCGGCGCUCUGGGCCGGUACUGACACUGAGGAGCGAAAGCGUGGGUAGCAAACAGG
rnacentral:rRNA from 1 species